rnacentral:tRNA from 1 species
GCUGACGUAGCUCAGUUGGUAGAGCACAUCCUUGGUAGGGAUGAGGUCGUCGGUUCAAAUCCGAUCGUCAGCUCAA